CUCAGAUACGCUCUACUAACUGGGUAGGAUCCGGAGACCCUAUAAAGGGUUUCACUGGCACUCCUACUUAACUCCUAUUUCGUUACGUCCUAAUCGUGCAGAGUAAGAUUUGCAGACGACGGCGCUAUCGAGGGUUGUUGAAGCAGACCGCCAAGAUCACGAAGCUGAUAAGU
rnacentral:ribozyme from 1 species